rnacentral:rRNA from 1 species
GNUCAGGACGAACGCUGGCGGCAUGCCUAACACAUGCAAGUCGAACGAGAAAGUUCCUUCGGGAGCAAUUAAAGUGGCGCACGGGUGAGUAACGCGUAGACAAUCUGCCCUUCAGUCUGGGACAACUUUUCGAAAGGAGAGCUAAUACCGGAUAACAAUGCAUGACACAAGUUGUAUAUUUGAAAGCUUUAUGUGCUGAAGGAGGGGUCUGCGUCCCAUUAGCUAGUUGGUAGGGUAAAGGCUUACCAAGGCAACGAUGGGUAGCGGGUUUGAGAGGACGAUCCGCCACACUGGAACUGAGACACGGUCCAGACUCCUACGGGAGGCAGCAGUGGGGAAUAUUGCACAAUGGAGGAAACUCUGAUGCAGCAAUGUCGCGUGAGUGAAGAAGGCCCUUGGGUCGUAAAGCUCUUUUAUGGGGGAAGAUGAUGACGGUACCCCAAGAAUAAGCACCGGCUAACUAUGUGCCAGCAGCCGCGGUAAUACAUAGGGUGCGAGCGUUGUUCGGAAUUACUGGGCGUAAAGGGCGCGCAGGCGGAAUAGUAAGUCGGAGGUGAAAGCCCGGGGCUCAACCCCGGAGGGUCUUUCGAAACUACUAAUCUAGAGAGGGUCAGGGGCCGGCAGAAUUCCUGGUGUAGAGGUGAAAUUCGUAGAUAUCAGGAGGAAUACCGGUGGCGAAGGCGGCCGGCUGGGGCCACUCUGACGCUGAGGCGCGAAAGCGUGGGGAGCAAACAGGAUUAGAUACCCUGGUAGUCCACGCCGUAAACGAUGAGCACUGGACGUCCGGAGGGUUCGACCCUUCUGGGUGUCUCAGCUAACGCAUUAAGUGCUCCGCCUGGGGAGUACGGUCGCAAGACUAAAANU